GGGAGAGCAUCGUCGCAGGUCACGGAAUCGGGGCUCAGGCGGACUUUUAAUCCGGCGGGCAGGGUUCGAGUCCCUGGCGGCCCA
rnacentral:tRNA from 1 species